GACGAACGCUGGCGGCGUGCUUAACACAUGCAAGUCGAACGGUGAAGGGAUCAGCUUGCUGGUUCUGGAUGAGUGGCGAACGGGUGAGUAACACGUGAGUAACCUGCCCCCUUCUUCUGGAUAACCGCAUGAAAGUGUGGCUAAUACGGGAUAUUCUGGGUCUGUCGCAUGAUGGGUCUGGGAAAGAUAUUGUUUCGGUGGGGGUUGGGCUCGCGGCCUAUCAGCUUGUUGGUGGGGUGAUGGCCUACCAAGGCGGUGACGGGUAGCCGGCCUGAGAGGGUGGACGGUCACACUGGGACUGAGACACGGCCCAGACUCCUACGGGAGGCAGCAGUGGGGAAUAUUGCACAAUGGGCGCAAGCCUGAUGCAGCGACGCCGCGUGAGGGAUGGAGGCCUUCGGGUUGUAAACCUCUUUCGCCAGUGAAGCAGGCCUGCUCCUUGUGGGUGGGUUGACGGUAGCUGGAUAAGAAGCGCCGGCUAACUACGUG
rnacentral:rRNA from 1 species